AGGAGGAGGAGGAGGAUGAUAAUCACAAUGAUGACUUUGAUUUUUGAUGAUGGGGUUGGUGAGGCGAACUAAAGGUCCGAGAAAAAAAGCAAAGGAGAUUUAAGGGGGUGCAAAGCUUUUGUGGCAGACGAAGAUGACUUGAUGUAUUCUUAGUUUAUUUACCUCCUUGGAUGGAUGAUGGACUUAUAUAACAUUAGAUUGUUGAACUUUAUAAUAUUUUCUAGAAGCUUGAACAAGAUAGAUCUUGUAAAAUUUG